rnacentral:lncRNA from 1 species
GUCACACAUGGAGGCAUGAAAAAAGAUGGUAGAUAUACAUAGAUGGCCUAGGGACUGCGAUAUCUCUAAGUGGGUUGCACGUGGUCUUUUAGGAUUCUAAUAGGUGAAAUAUUACACUAUUGCCCAAUUCUCCACUUAUGUUGAAUAUAAUCAAACUAAAAUUCUUGAUAGUUUUUGUUUUCCAAAAACAUGGCAUCGUGACCACCAUCAUCAUCAGAUUAUCUUAAUCAUCUCCAUUGAUAUUGCCACAAUCACUGCAACC